rnacentral:rRNA from 1 species
GGACUACCAGGGUAUCUAAUCCUGUUUGCUCCCCACGCUUUCGCAGUUGAGUGUCAGUGCCCAUCCAGCUUGCCGCCUUCGCCUCUGGUGUUCCUCCCGAUCUCUACGCAUUUCACCGCUACACCGGGAAUUCCACAAGCCUCUCUGGGACUCUAGUCUUACCGUUUCUUGCGCACUUCUUGAGUUAAGCCCAAGGAUUUCACACAAGACAAAUAAGACCACCUACCUGCCCUUUACGCCCAAUAAUUCCGAGCAACGCUUGCACCCCUCGUAUUACCGCGGCUGCUGGCAC